CGUAAGGCGCCGAAUGAGUCAUUAAAAAUUAACAUCAUCCGAUCCCUAGUCGGCAUAGUUUAUGGUUAAGACUACGACGGUAUCUGAUCGUCUUCGAUCCCCUAACUUUCGUUCUUGAUUAAUGAAAACAUCCUUGGCAAAUGCUUUCGCAGUAGUUAGUCUUCAAUAAAUCCAAGAAUUUCACCUCUGACAAUUGAAUACUAAUGCCCCCAACUAUCCCUAUUAAUCAUUACGUCGAUCCUAGAAACCAACAAAAUAGAAUCAAACGUCCUAUUUCAUUAUUCCAUGCUAAUGUAUUCAAGCGCGAGCUUGCUUUAAACACUCUAAUUUUUUCAAAGUAACAGUCCUGAUUUCCCGCGACACCAAAUUAAUGACAUCGUGGUUCGUCAGAAGGGAGAAACCAAUAAUGCUAGUACGUACAAAGUACGACCGACAUAUUAGUCCCGAAAUUCAACUACGAGCUUUUAACUGCAACAACUUUAAUAUACGCUAUUGGAGCUGGAAUUACCGCGGCUGCUGG
rnacentral:rRNA from 1 species